rnacentral:rRNA from 1 species
UCUACACCCAAAGACUCGCGCAUAUGGUGGACUCCUUGGUCCGUGUUUCAAGACGGGUCAUAUAAAAUCAUUAAGCCAACAACCUAAGCAAAUUAAAAGAACACCAAACGAGUUGAAAAAAAUAAUAAAAGCACCACCCGAAGCAGAAAUUCUCUCAUUAUUUUCCCCAAGCGCCUAAUAUCUUCGCCUUACGGUUUGCUGCGUUCCUCAUUCCAGCCGAAAGUAUUUUAUAAAGGACUAUAACACCUAAACCGAAGCCUAGGCUACAUUUCCUUUAUUUUUUUCCUUCCAACCAAAAUGUCGCUGGCAUACAUAAGCAGGCAAGUGCAUCCUUCCCAAAGGAAAGAUUGAUUACCUACCAGUAGGUCUGAUUUCAUACGGUUCCCUUUCAGCAAUUUCACGUACUUUUUGACCCUCUUUUCAAAGUGCUUUUCAUCUUUCCCUCACGGUACUUGUUCGCUAUCGGUCUUUCGUCAAUAUUUAGCUUUAGGAGAGAUUUACCUCCCAUUUUAGGCUGCAUUCCCAAACAACCUGACUCUUCGUUUCCAAGCCAAACGCCUAAUCAAAACUCAGGCCAAAGACGGGGAUUUCACCCUCUAUGUCGCCCCUUUCCAGAGGACUUAUUUACCUGGCUGACUAGACGACUUAAAAACUUUAGUUUACAAUCCGGGUGAGCUAUGCCCACCAGGUUCCAACUUUGAGCUUUUCCCUCUUCACUCGCCGUUACUAGGGGAAUCAUGUAUU